GAAGGUGAUGUUUAACUUUCGUGUGCUGCUUCAGUUUGUAUGAUAAAGGUGCUCUCACAAUGCUCCAUUUGAGAAGUUACAGAUCAUUCAUCUAGCGAUACUGAAGAGCUAAUGGUGAUAUUACAAGUGGACUUUCAGGUAGGAAGCUCAAUAAUUGUAACACCAAACUCUGACAGAAUUACUCAAUUCAAUCAGGACCUGGAUAUUCGCAUUGUGUAUUUCCACAAUUUUACUUCUGCACUGCUCUUACUCUUUCAGAGGGAUUGAAAGGUGGAGUUACAGAUCUAUACAAUGACUGUCCUUCCUCGCUGGCUCUCCCAAUUCUCUCUUUUGGUAGUUUGAUGCAAACACUGACUGGAUCCCUUACCUGGAGGAUAUUUAUGAAUGAAUUUGUUCUAAUGGUGAUCCAGCAUAUUCCCCAAGUGUUGCUGUACACAUGUCCAGAGAAUUUCUCAGUUUCACAAUCUGUGUCCUUCUGGUUUCUUACUUACUUUCUCUUUGAAAGUAUAGUCUGCAGUUGGAGAAUUUAAACAGGCCCACAUCCAGGUCUGACGGUCACUUUGUUUAUCACAACCCAAUUUUCUCAGGAUUUUGAACAUUGAAGGAAAAAGCAGCACUCACAUUGGGGAGAAAUGCACAUGGUGUGUGUGUUGAAGAGUCUGUGAAGAUUCAUCUGAAAUGUCCAAACACCAGUGCAGUGACACUGGGAGACAGUGUGGAAAUGUGCAGAUUGCAGGAAGGAAUUUCUUCAUCCAUCCCAGCUAGAAACUGACCACCAGAGUCACACUGGAGAGAGACCAUUGACCUGUUCUGCGUGAGGGAAAGGCUUUGCUGACUCGAAUUCCCCGCUGAUACACCAGCGAGUUCACUCUGGGGAGAGACCUUUCAUGAGCUCUGUGUGGGAAGGGAUUCAUUGUCAUCCAAACUGUUAACACACCAGCGAGUUCGCAGACAACCACAGUUGAAGAACAUUGCUGUCACUCUCACUAUCAAAUAAACCAUGGUGUUGGGCUGUUUGUACAGAUGUUACCGAUACCUGCUCAAUUAAAGGUGCUGGUAUUGUGAAUAAAAUGUCACACUAACAGUUGUGUAAGGUAGAGCUUGGAAAUAGUCACGUUGUCACAACACAUCGACACAUUCACACUGACUAAAGCCUAUCCACCUGCAUGAUAUGUGAAAAGGGAUUUCCUGGUACAUUCCUGGUUCCUGGUUAACGACCAGCAAAUUUCUGAAUAAGUUGAUUGGUUUGAAUAUAGCUAACAGUAGAAUCAAAAAUAGUAUCAGUGAUAAUGGGAACUGCAGAUGCUGGAGAAUCCAAGAUAACAAAAAGUGUGGAGCUGGAUGAACAUAGCAGGCCAAGCAGCAUCUCAGGAGCACAAAAGCUGACUUUUCGGGCCUAGAGAAGGGUCAAGGCCUGAAACGUCAGCUUUUGUGCUCCUGAGAUGCUGCUUGGCCUGCUGUGUUCAUCCAGCUCCACACUUUGUUAUAGUCGAUUCAAAAACCAUGUGUUUUGGGCUUGUUUCUGGAGAUCAUAGAAUCCCUCCACUGUGGGAGCAGACCACUUAGCCCAUCAAGUCCGCACUGACCUGACGAAGAUUGUCUUACCCAGACACUGUCUGCGUGAGUUUCCUCCAGAUGCUCUGGUUUCCUCCCACAGUCCAAAAAUGUGCAAAUUAUGUAGAUUCACUAUGCUAAAUUGCCCAUAGUAUCUUGUGUGCAAAAUGCAGGGAUAGGGUAGGGUGUGAGACUGGUUGGGAUGCUCUUUGCAGGGUUGAUAUUGACUGAAUGGCCAUCUUCCACACUGUAGGAAUUCUGUGAUGAUCUCGAUGGCCCUUUAUUUGUUAGAUAGGUCUGCACACCUUUACAAUGACAGAUUCUGUUGCUCUCCCACAGACAUUUGUUUAUUGGAAACAAUGUAAUCUUUCAGUUUGUGGAUAAAAAUCAAAGGAAUGUUUUAAAUCCAAACAUAGGAUUGGGUUGAGUCAUGUCCUAUAAUCCCUGAUUUGCAUUUUCCCCGUCGGCUAUGAAACCUGGUGACCGCUGUGACUCUGCCUGGGAGCAUUGCAGUCUCGUCAGCUCUUUACCUGGUGUCCAUAGCAGUGAUGGAUCUCAUGACGGAAACAUAAACCAAAACAUUGUGUGAUUUCUAGUACAUAUUUUCUAUUUAGUCUUCUGUCCAUCACUUCCCUAGAGGCUGAGAUACUGGUCUGGGGACCUAGGUGUGAAUCCAUCUGGAAAUAAGAAUGUGAUGAUGACUGUCAAUCCAUUGCCUUUGUUGGAAAAACCCAUCUGUUCACCGAUGGCCUACAGGGAAGGAAACUGCCAUUCUUAUCCAGUGAUGUGAUCAUCCCAUGAAUGAAUUUUUUAAAAAAAUUAAAAACUCCUGCAAAUACGUUAAA